rnacentral:rRNA from 1 species
UAGGGAAUCUUCGGCAAUGGACGAAAGUCUGACCGAGCAACGCCGCGUGAGUGAAGAAGGUUUGCGGAUCGGAAAACUCUGUUGUUAGAGAAGAACAAGGACGUUAGUAACUGAACGUCCCCUGACGGUAUCUAACCAGAAAGCCACGGCUAACUACGUGCCAGCAGCCGCGGUAAUACGUAGGUGGCAAGCGUUGUCCGGAUUUAUUGGGCGUAAAGCGAGCGCAGGCGGUUGCUUAAGUCUGAUGUGAAAGCCCCCGGCUCAACCGGGGAGGGUCAUUGGAAACUGGGAGACUUGAGUGCAGAAGAGGAGAGUGGAAUUCCAUGUGUAGCGGUGAAAUGCGUAGCUAUAUGGAGGAACACCAGUGGCGAAGGCGGCUCUCUGGUCUGUAACUGACGCUGAGGCUCGAAAGCGUGGGGAGCAAACAGG